UAAACCUGAGAAACCCAAAAGAUCGAAUGGGGAGGUUCAACGCCAACGAUGUUGGCUUCCGUGUGGUUCGCGAUGCGACACUUUUAGUGGAAACACGCAGCCUCUGCGGUAUGUCUGGCAUCGUCGGGUGCACUUCUCCCCUAGUAGGACGUCGCGACCCGUUGGGUGCUGGCCUACGGCCCGGUUGGUCGACUGUCGCGUUUCGCGUUUACGCGCGUGCGAGGCAGACCACCGGUCGCCCGGCCAGCUGCCCGGCGGUAUAGAACGCAUUUUAACGGUAUUGGGCCGCACAUCACGUGCGUCCAGGCUCGUCGGCAGGCUCGCCUCGCUCGGAUUUACGGACCUAGCGCGUUGCCGGGUGCUUGGUGUGGUUGUUAGUCGACGAUGUCCUCGGACCGGCUCUUUGAAUGAA
rnacentral:rRNA from 1 species